rnacentral:rRNA from 1 species
AUGAACGCUGGCGGCAUGCCUAACCCCUGCAAGUCGAUCGGGAAGGCUCUUCGGAGUACACGAGAGGCGGACGGCUGAGUAACGCGUAGGAACACACCCUGCAGUGAGGGAUAAGACACCGAAAGGUGUUCUAAUACCGCAUACGGUCUUCGGAUUAAAGCAUUUAUGCGCUGAAGGAGUGGCCUGCGUCAUAUUAGAUAGUUGGUGAGGUAAUGGCUCACCAAGUCGAUGAUGUGUAGCUGGUCUGAGAGGAUGAUCAGCCAGACUGGAACUGAGACACGGUCCAGACUCCUACGGGAGGCAGCAGUGAGGAAUAUUUCACAAUGAGCGAAAGCUUGAUGGAGCAAUGCCGCGUGCAGGAUGAAGGCCCUCGGGUUGUAAACUGCUUUUAUAAGAGAAGAUUAUGACGGUAACUUAUGAAUAAGGGACGGCUAACUACGUG